ACUGGCAGUUGUUGCUGUAAAAUAGCUCUCUGCAACUCUUACAUGGUCACCCACUGAAGCUAAGCAGGGCAAUGUCAGUAAUUGGAUGGGAGACCACAUGGGAAAGCUAGGUUGCUGCUGGAA
rnacentral:rRNA from 1 species